UACGAAGGGUGCAAGCGUUGCUCGGAAUUAUUGGGCGUAAAGGGGAGGUAGGUGGUCUCGUUUGUCCGGGGUGAAAUACCUGAGCUUAACUCGGGAAGUGCCUCGGAAACGGCGAGACUAGAGUACUGGAGAGGGUAGCGGAAUUCCCGGUGUAGCGGUGAAAUGCGUAGAGAUCGGGAGGAACACCAGAGGCGAAGGCGGCUACCUGGACAGUCACUGACACUCAACUCCGAAAGCGUGGGGAUCAAACAGGAUUAGAUACCCUGGUAGUCCACGCUGUAAACGAUGGGCACUAGGUUUCGCGGGUCUUGACCCCUGCGGAGCCGCAGCUAACGCAAUAAGUGCCCCGCCUGGGGAGUACGGUCGCAAGACUAAA
rnacentral:rRNA from 1 species